UACGGGGGGAGCAAGCGUUGUUCGGAUUUACUGGGCGUAAAGGGCUCGUAGGCGGCCAACUAAGUCGGAUGUGAAAUCCCCAGGCUUAACCUGGGAACUGCAUCCGAUACUGGAUGGCUUGAAUUCGGGAGAGGGAUGCAGAAUUCCAGGUGUAGCGGUGAAAUGCGUAGAUAUCUGGAGGAAUACCGGUGGCGAAGGCGGCAUCCUGGACCGAGAUUGACGCUGAUGAGCGAAAGCUAGGGGAGCAAACGGG
rnacentral:rRNA from 1 species